rnacentral:lncRNA from 1 species
AGUUCAUGCCAAUAGUUCAAACAGCAAGUGAACACCACCAACCUGUGAAUGGAAGUUACUUUGCCCGUGCAAACCCUGCAGAUGGAAAGUGCCUGCUGGAGAAAUACAGCCAAAAGUAUCCUGACUUCGGAUGUGCAUUACUGGCUAACCUUUUUGCCAGUGAGGGCCAACCUGGCAAGGUGAUUAUGCCCAUAAGAACAUAGCAUUCCUUACAUCUUCCCUCAUAACUAAAUAUGAGCUUUUAUUGUCCCCAGUAUAGUUCUCCCAAGAAAAUCAGAUGGGCCAAUGCCAAAGUUUUUAUAUGACCUACUUAGUUU